UGUUGCUCUCGGGUGCGAUCAUACCAGCACUAA
rnacentral:rRNA from 1 species